rnacentral:misc_RNA from 1 species
CGAAUCAAGGGAAGCGUGCCGGUGCAGGCAAGAGACCACCGUAAGCGUCGUUGCAACCAAUUAAGCGCCGAUACCAAUCAGCGCGACUACGCUCUCGCUGCCUAAGCGAAGCUAGUCCGUCAGACCGGGACCGCCCUCGACCCGGACCCUGGCGUCAUCUAGAGGGAUCAACCGUUGAAUCCGGUCGCGGGAUUCAACGGGACACCCAACAGCGACUGGGAUCGUCAUCUCGGCUCGUCCGCAAGACCGAGAGAUCCAAGUAGAGGCAAGGCGGACUGCGCACGGAGAAGUCUUGAGGGAAUGCC